GACGAACGCUGGCGGCGUGCCUAAUACAUGCAAGUCGAACGGAAAGGCCACUUGGUGGCUCCUCGAGCGGCGGCGGGGUAAGUAACACGUGAGUAACCAUCCCUUGACUUCAAGAUAACUUUAACUAACGGAGGCUAGUACCAGAUCGGAAUCAUUUCUUGAUGGUGUUGGUUCGAAAGUUUCGGCGGUUUUGGCUGGACUCGCGGCAUAUAAGCUUGCUGGUUGGGUAGUGGCUUACCAAGGCUUUGACGGGUAGCCGGCCUGAGGAGGCGACCCGCGAUACUGGGACCGAGAGACGGCACCGGCUGCUACGGGUGGCAGCAGUGGGGAAUACUGAACGAUCGGCGGCAGCCGGGUGAAGCAAGGCCGCGUGCGGUAUAACGGCCUUCGGGUUGUAAACCGAUUGUGGCAGGGGCGAUGCUUGUGGUGACGGUACCUGCAGAAGAAGCACCGGCUAACUACGUG
rnacentral:rRNA from 1 species